ensembl:lncRNA
UUUUUUUUUUUUUUUUUUUUUUAACCAAAUUGGUAAGAGUGAAAUUCCAUAAACUCCAGGUCCUUGCAAGUUCACCAGCCCAUGCCCAAUUACUCCAGGGAAAAGGUCUGGGUAGCUUAUUCCUUCAUCUCCACAACUAACUGACAUCACCACACCGUGAGUUUGGCUCAGGCUUCUUGAAAACCACUAGGUCACUGUGGUGUUGGGGAGGAAGGUGAGAUCAAAUUUGUCAAAUGUUUGCUUGAAGAGCCCAAUAAGUUUGCAGGAUGUUCAGGUUUAUUUGGUGGUGACCACCUAUGCCAGUCCAGAGACAGUGGCUGUUAUUGCUGGAGGACAGGUGAGAAUGGCAUCUCACAUUCACCUAACAGUGCUCUCACCUUGGCUUGCUUUGAACCAGUAAGCAAGCAAGGCAAAUGAUAUACAUGAGAUUAGAAUAUAGAUUUGUGGCUGCAACAAGUGGGAGGUUCUCUCAGAGUCUGGGGAUCUCACCCUCCCAGAGGAAUGAAUCAGUAGGUCAGAGCAGCUCUGAAUGUGGGCUCACUCUCUACUUUUCACAUUUCCGGCUUGAUGAGGUAAGGGGUAACACGCAGUCAAGAGUCUGUCCUAACACGAUAAAAUAAAUGUUUUCUGUGCCACAAUCAGAUAACUAAGUUAUUUCUUUGUAUCAUUUCUUGCUACAUAAUUGGGCCAAGUUGAAGUCUGGUGCAGAAGACAGACUAUGGUCUACUAAAGACAGGAAUUUUGUUUUUGAGUGAACAACCCACUUUAGACCAACUUUGGUGGUAGCAAAGAUUGUCUACCCAGGAAUAUUUAGGGAGGCUUGUGCAGAUCUGUGAAGAUGGGCAGAACUCCCAUCUUCACCUGUCCUUUGCUUCACAUAAAAGAGAAUCAGUUGGGAGGCUGAGACGGGUGGAUCACGAGGUCAGGAGAUCGAGACCAUCCUGGGUAACAUGGUGCACGGUGAAACCCCGUCUCUACUAAAAAAUACAAAAAACUAGCCGGGCGAGGUGGCGGGCGCCUGUAGUCCCAGCUACUCGGGAGGCUGAGGCAGGAGAAUGGCGUGAACCCGGGACGCGGAGCUUGCAGUGAGCUGAGAUCUGGCCACUGCACCCCAGCCUGGGCGACAGAGCGAGACUCCGUCUCAAAAAAAAAAAAAAGAGAAUCAGGUGAAGUCAAAUGAUGACAAGGACUGGGGCUAGACUACUGCUCCUAACUCAAGAUACAGACCUUUUUAAAGGAAGAGAUCUUUUGAUCUCUAUCUUAGUUUGGGUUCUCCCAAAAGCAGAUCCUGGGGCAAGAAUUUAAGUGCAAGUAGAUUAUUUAGGGAAAACCAGUACGGGAGUGGAGUUAUAAGGAAAGGAAGUGAGCCAAUAAAAUGUGCACAAUUAAGCCAGCUACUGUUGAAUGAGCAGAGAUAUAGCCCCUGGAUUAUCCCACCUUGUUGAUGAAGAGGUUGUUAUUUACAAACUCAGUCACUGACUGAAGACUGCUCCCUGAGGGAGUGUUAAUUCCCCAGAAUUCCUAGCCUGCCACACAUGGACGGGGUGCAGAAAAUGCCUUCGAAUGCGGAGAUGCACGUAUCAAAAAUUGAAAGUACACAGGAGCACAGUGAUUUUGAGAGAAAUGGGAAAUGGAUAUUAUUAUAUACUAAUAUACCUAGAAGAGACAUAAAACUUGACUAGGUAAGGAGUCGUCAGGGCUUUGCACCAGCAGCAUCCCUGGAAAGAAUGUGCAGUGAUUUUCAGGGUUCAUGGUGGAUUGACUCUCCAACAGCUCUCACAGGAUGCAGGGUAAGGUAUUUAUUUAAAUAGAAAAAUAAAGUCAGCUAAUGGGUUUGAUAAGGAUAUGGGCUCUACCAUAAAUAUGACUUAAAUUUGCAGCUACAAAAUUUUAAUGAAAAUAUAUUUAAAGCACAUAAACAAAACACCAUGUGCUAGAAAUUCCAUUCUUUGCAAUUAAUAUACUACAUAAAAAUUUAGCAUUUUAAAGUAAGUAUGCAUAAAAGGGUCUUAAAUUUUUUUUUAGUUAAAAUUUAGAAGCCAUAUGAGCAAAAAUAGCUUAUAAUUGUCUUACAAUUAUGUGAGCUACUCAAUAUCCUUUUAAAAAGGAGAAUAAGAUUCAGAGGUUAGGUAGCUGGGUGGCAGGUGUCAAAUGCACAGUAAAACUGGGUCAGCCAGCUUUGAACCUUCGAACACUACUGUCAAACAAUCAGACUGAAGCUUCUGACCCAACACACAGUGACACUGCCCACUGUGCCCUGGAUGUCACCACAUGCAUCAAUGGCAUCCUCCUUUAUGAAUUUGCUCUUGCUACAACUGGUGUGACCAUCAGAGUUGUUUCUCUACAGGAUUUGCUGCUAUGCAGCACCAGUCCUCAAUUCAGUAACUGUGGUAGUCAUAAGCAGAGCCUAGGCCUCUUUCACUGCAAGAAACAUCAGAAAAAAAGUGCCUGAUAUAUUGAGCUCUAUCACCAAAACUUGUAUAAUAGGGAACUCUCAAGAAAUAAAAAGACUGAUGUUAAGCAGCCAAAAGGCAAUGACUAAUGUCCCCAACAAAUAGCUGUCUUUAAUUAGAUUUAUCUUUUUGUUUUCAAAAAAUCUCUACUGAGAUUUUGUUUCAAUUCAUUGCAUUAUUUUGACAUGUUGGUGAUUUUCAAUUUAGUUUCUGGUGCAUAUGUUAAAAUGCAGACCAUUCUUUAUUUUUGAUCAUGCCACAUGCAUGAAAAAUUCCUUAGGUGAGUUAUUAUCACUGGGGUAAAGUCUUGGAAAAGUUCCUACAUAUUCUUUUUGUUAUUGUUUUUCAUUUCUUUUCCUGCAUAUCCUUGAUAGAAAUUCUAAAUACAAUAGGAAGUAGGGUAGGUAGGGAGGAAACAAUACAGGCUUUCUCUGAAGUCCUCUGAGGUUUUGUUAUGUCUGUUUAUUCUCAGUGCAAAAGGUCAUGUUCAGAAAAAUGGAAGAAUCAUAUCUCAAAGCUAGUCAAAAAUGGGCAUUAUGAGAAUACAUGAGGUUGGUCAGAAUGAUGAAUUUGGUAAUAUAAAAGCUCUGGAAAUCUCAUUUGUUAACAUUAGAGAACAGGGGUCUGCAAACUUUCUGUAAAGAGCCUAAUAAUAAAUAUUUUAGGUCUUGUGGGCCUCUGUUGCAAUUAUUCAGCUCUGCUGUUGUAGCCCCAAAGCAGCCAUAGAUGAUAUACAAAUUAAUGGUUGUGGUUGUGUGCCAAUAAUAUUUACUAACAGAAUGAUUUCCUUAAGGUUUGUAGUUUGCCAACCCCUGUAAUAGAAAAUAGUAAUAAUACAGAUACUUAAUAUUAAAGAAAUGGAAAAAAUGCAACAGAGGCAGAAAAGUGUCGAAUCUGUCUCUUCCUCUUUGUAAAGAGUUAGGCCCAGGAGUCUGAAGAAAAAGUCACAACUGCUCAAAUCUGAAUAACCUUAAGUGAUCCUUUGUCUAUAUAUGUUCUUUAUUUCUUGACACUACUGUGAAUUCUUCUUGGGCAACAAUCUCAAUGGCAGUACAGUACAUUGGAGCUUGACUGUCUAGGUUCAAAGACUGGCUCUGUUAAUUACCAACAAAAUGACUUCUGGCAAGAGACAAAACCUAAAGAAAAAACCAGCAGAAACCACUGGACUGACAGAGGUGUGGAACACAGUAGGUACUUGACGAAGAUGACUUAAGAUUUAGGUAAAGACUGAACAUGUACCACUCCUACUUGUCAUGACAGUGGAGCAUCCACUUCAUAAGAAUGACAGUAUAAUGAGAAAAACACACAAAUGAAAUAAUACUUUGAAGAAACUCACCUUUUACUUAAUAUCACCACAGAGGAAAUUCUGGGUGGAAGUUUAGAAUUCAGAAAGACUUUGUGCCACAGAGAAAGACUGCCACGAGCAAUAGUACUUAAGUUGCUUAGAAUGAAUAAAAAAUAUUCAAAAUCUCCUAUGUACAGUAUAGACACUUUCUCGGUGACUUUGGUCAGUGACUUUUAUCCAGGAAGACAAUAAAUUAAGAGGUUGCAUACGUGUAUCACUUUUUAUUCCUUCCAUAACAAAUCGCCACAAACUUAGUGGCUUGAAACAACAAAACUUUAUCAACUUACAAUUCUGUAAGUCUGAUAUAGGUCUGACUGGACUUACAUCAAGGUGUUAGCAGAAUGUAUGCCUUUCUGGAGGCUCUAGGGAAGAAUCCAUUUCCUGCUUACUUAGAUUUUGGCAGAAUUCAGUUUCUUGCUGUUGUAGGACCAAGAUCCCUGUUUUCUUGCUGUCUAUAAACUAGGAGCUGUUCUCAGCUUCUAAAGAUAACCACAUUUCUUGGCUCAUAGCCCUCUUCCUCCAACUUCAGAGCCCAUCAACAGCAGGACAAGUCUUUUCAUGUCACAUCUCUCAGACCCACUCUUCUGAUUCCCUCUUCCGCAUUUAAUGACUCAUGACUAGACGGGUAAUCCAGAGUAAUCCACCUGAGUAAUCCAGAAUAACCUCACCAUCUCGAGGUCUUUACCCUCAAUCACAUUUGAAAAGUGCUGUUUGUCAUGUAAAGUAACAAUCACAGUUACCAGGGAAUAGGAUGUGGACAUCUUUGGGGAUCAGUGGGGGUAGGAGAGAUUAUUCUACCUUCCACAAUAUUCUAGUUGCCUUUCCUAUUCUUCCCAUCGGUAGUGACAUCUGAAAAAUGUCAACCUACCUUUGAGUAUUUGGACUCAAAGGUAUAUAUAUUCCUUGAGAUGUCUGAAAAAGUCUACAUACAAUUGCAAUGAUAUAUCCAUGGAUAUGCGCCAAUCAUAUGUACAUAUAAACUCAAAAUUCUGUCUUUCAAGUAGAACAGUUACUUUUAUUAAUUAUUGUAAGACGCGCUGAACUAGAAUCCAGGAGGCCUUGAUUGUAGGUUCUACUAUGUAACCCUAAAAGAGUCACUGAACUUAUUUGGGACUCAGUUUCCUAAUCCACAUGACACAGAAUGUAAACUUGAAAAUUCCUAGAUUCCCUUUUAGCUCUAAAUAUCUGUGAUCCAUGGUCUGAAAGAAAAAGGGUGGAGGUGGGAGAGUCAUUCUGCUUUGUUACAAAAAUGAAACAAAACUUAUAUAAUGAGAAUUUAUCAGAAAUAAGGGAAAGCUCUGAUAUUUUUUCUGCCUCACAUGUUUUCAAUUAAAUUAAAAAAAAUAUUUAGGGGGUACAAGUGCAGGUUUCUUACAUGCAUAUAUGAAAUCUGGGCUUUUAGUGCACACGUCACCUGAGUAGUGAACAUUGUACACAAUAAGUAAUUUUCAACCCUCAUUUGCUCCCCAUGUGUUUUAAUGUAAUUUCAGGCAUUUGCUUUCCAUUGAUCACUCAGGGUUAUUUAUGUUUAGCUUUUGUCAAUAUAAUUCUUAUACUUCACUCUCACUAUUCUAUUUGCAUUUCUAUACCUUCUUACAUUAUUCAUCUCUCAUUGCCUAACCUCAGUAUUGUUCUCCAAAAAAAAAAAAACAAAAAAAC